UUUCCUGUAGGUCGGAUGUGCUGGGCUGCUGCGAGCCAGGUUGAGAGGAGGAAUUCCGAGGGCCGCGAACAAAGCCCCAGACAGAGGGGUCCCAGCUGCGCCCGCCUAAGCUGGGUCAGAGAGAGCGAGCUGGGGAGCUGGAGAUGGGAAUAAUACAAAUACUAGAUGACGUGAAGAAAAGAUCAAGAUAGUCUCAAGAUCAGAAUUGCUUCAUGGUACGACUGGAAAUAGAAUACAGAAGGACUCAGAAAUGGGCAAGUCACAAAAGGAGCCUCAAUCACUGGGAGCCCACUAGGAAGAAAGCUGCGUGGAUAAAACUAUCCCAGAUGAGCAAAAAAAUAAACCUUUUUUGUGCUAACACAGACAACUAAGGUUGUUCAUUACACCAGAUAGCAUUGAUUACCUUAACUAAUAUGAUAUGUAAAAUGGUAAGAUAAAUUAUCCCUGAAACAUCUUAAAAUGUUUUUCCCUAUAUUCUUUUUUGUUGGGUGACGUCAGCCAUGUUUUUAUUGCUAUGGAAGCAUCUGCUCUACUUCCAGCUUGCUGUAUCCACAAUAAUCUUGUAAACUUGUUAGAACCAGAUACACAGAGAGGGGAAAGGGUUCUAGACAAGAGACUCUGAUAAGGAUUUGCCUAUACUUCUGCACAGGGACACCUACAUUUUGCCUUCUCAGAAUUCUCUUCAGAUAUGAUUUAGUUCAUUGAGGUGAUUUUUAUGUUUAUAUAACCCCUUACUUACCUGAUUUUCUUAUAUUAAACUUAAUACUUUUGCAUUUGGGCUGAUAUAUUGAUUUGUAUUUGCAUUCGCCAUAAAAGCCUACAGUACCUUGAAGCCAAAUAAAUUAUAUAGGUCAUAGAUUCAAUGCUUAGAGUUAUAAUAUAUUUGUCUGAACGCGGUAUGGUUUUGAAGUUAAUGGAUGUUGUAUAUACUAAAAUAAGCAAUAUCAUUCAGGCCCCAUAAAAUUUGCAUGUUGAUUCUGCAAAACUGUAUCCUUUUUUAACAUAAAAAAUUCACACAUGUACAUACGAGCCAUCUGCUAAAAAUUUUAUUGAUAAAACCAGAAGCAGCAGUUUUACAAAAUUGGAAUGAUUUUCAGUUCUGAACUAUCAUGAAUUCAGUUGCUGCAGACAUUUUGUACAAACUGGAGCUAAUGCUUCUCCUAUGUUUCUGUUUUAAACAAAAAGCAAUUAGAAUUUAUCCUCAUGCAUUUAAAUAUCUAAUACAGAAAUAGUUUUUAGGCUGCAUAAUAUAUGCUUUCCAACAUCUCCAUGAGACUGAACAUCUGCCUUAAGCAUUAUUUGUACAAGAAAAACAGCAUAAUUCUUCUAAUCACAAACUUAUUCUUGAUCACAGGUAAACAAUUUUGUAUUUUCUAAC